UAGCGGAGGAAAAGAAACCAACAGGGAUUGCCUCAGUAACGGCGAGUGAAGCGGCAAAAGCUCAAAUUUGAAACCCUCGGGAUUGUAAUUUGAAGAUUUGGCAUUGGAGAAAGCUAACCCAAGUUGCUUGGAAUAGUACGUCAUAGAGGGUGACAACCCCGUCUGGCUAACCGUUCUCCAUGUAUUGCCUUAUCAAAGAGUCGAGUUGUUUGGGAAUGCAGCUCAAAGUGGGUGGUAAACUCCAUCUAAAGCUAAAUACUGGUGAGAGACCGAUAGCGAACAAGUACUGUGAAGGAAAGGUGAAAAGAACUUUGAAAAGAGAGUGAAAUAGUAUGUGAAAUUGUUGAUAGGGAAGGAAAUGAGUGGAGAGUGGCCGAGGUUUCAGCCGCCCCUCGUGGGCGGUGUACUGCCGACGCCGAGUCAUCGAUAGCGAGACGAGGGUUACAAAUGGGAGCGCCUUUCGGGCGUUCUCCCCUAACCCUCCACACUGCCACCGACGACAUAAUCCACCCAUUUCACCCGUCUUGA
rnacentral:rRNA from 1 species